AGCGAACGCUGGCGGCAGGCCUAAUACAUGCAAGUCAAGCGGCCGUAGCAAUACGGCAGCGGCAGACGGGAGAGUAACACGUGGGAACGUACCGCACGGUUCGGAACCACCCAGGGAAACUUGGGGUAAUACCGGAUACGUCCGUAAGGGGAAAGAUUUAUCGCCGAAAGAUCGGCCCGCGUCUGAUGAGCUUGUUGGUGGGGUAACGGCUCACCAAGGCGACGGUCAGUAGCUGGUCUGAGAGGAUGAUCAGCCUCCCUGGGACUGAGACACGGCCCAGACUCCUACGGGAGGCAGCAGUAGGGAAUAUUGGACAAUGGGCGCAAGCCUGAUCCAGCCAUGCCGCGUGAGUGAUGAAGGCCCUAGGGUUGUAAAGCUCUUUCGGCGGGGAAGAUAAUGACGGUACCCGCAGAAGAAGCCCCGGCUAACUUCGUGCCAGCAGCCGCCGCCG
rnacentral:rRNA from 1 species